GGCGCCGCCUGGUGGGGACCCAGGGGACGAAGGGAAGGAGUCCUACUCCGCUUCCGGACAGCCAGGAUCGCCAGGAGACCAGAAGCGCGACCUCCCCGGCGCAGCAGGGCAGAGCUUCUCCUGAAGACAUGCAGGAUGAUUUCACUUUACAUGACAUUUAAUCUUGCUCAUGGAGGAAUCAGUUCCCAAGACCUGACAGGACUGGAGGUGGCAGUGGUCAUCCAAGGAGAACACCGGUGACUCUCCUAACUUCAUUCCCCAAUCAAAGAGGACAGUUUUGGUUUGCCACUGGUGAGUUUAUUACAUGAUUAAAGUUCAAAUAAAAAAAUAA